AGGUAGUAGCUCUGAGACUGCUCCUGGUUGGGUGCUCUCAGCUCCUGGCAUCUGUGAGGAAGGAAGCAGAGAGCUAGCUCUCUGUGCUGAGCCCGAGACAGGAUCCCAGUGUGUGGGGAGCCACAAUGCCAGCUGAGGGGACAGGAGUCAGGUUUUACCUCCUGCUGUUCCUCUUUGUGGCCAACCGAGGGCCGAGUGCAGGUAAGUCACUCAGGAGCAGC
rnacentral:lncRNA from 1 species